UUCAUGUAUAAAUAAGCAAGCUCUGCAUCAAUAUUUCAUUCGUCAACUCGAAUUCUGUAGACAUGACUUCUACAAUAAUUCUGCUUUGCUUUCUUGCUGGAAUGGUUGCUGCUCAGGAAGUUCGGGAACCUGAACCAGAUGAACCAAGGGAAGAUUGUUAUAUCAAAGGAUCGGCUAGUUUAUAUCUAGGCAAAACAAACCAGACCAAUCAACAUGAGACCUGUCUCAAUUGGCAGGGUUUUGAAAUUCACCCUGAUGAAAGAUUCCCUGAUGGCAGUCGUCGGGAAGCUGGCAAUUACUGCAGAGAGCCAACAAGAAAACGUGACAUGCCAUGGUGUUAUGUUAAAAAGGAUCUAUGGGAAUAUUGUGGUGUACCAGAAUGUACCAGAAAUUCCUAAAGCUUUUUGCAAAACAAGAAAGAAUGACGAAGUAAACAUGAGUAAAUGCAGUGUUGAAUUUAUUGUUGUAAUAUAUUUCAACAAAAUAAAGCUUCAAAAAUGA